GCGCCCAUAACUCAGUUGGUAGAGUAACCGCCUCUUAAGCGGGAUGUCGCAGGUUCGAUCCCUGCUGGGCGCACCA
rnacentral:tRNA from 1 species